AGCGACAAGUAUAGAGGAAAUUCACAAUAAAAAUACCGAUAUAUUUUAUAUAAAUACACAGCCAAAAUCAUAAAUCAUUUCUAAACUGUUCACGGAAGAUGAGAGUGUUCAUCCCUUACUUAUUUAUUUGUAUUUUUCUACUCGGAUAUUUGCAAGGUAAAAACGUACAAUUAUUAUGCGGAAGUAAUUUACAGUUGUACAACCCGACGACUCAUGUGUGUGCCAACGGGCAACUGUUUAAAAGGUCAAACACGUCUUCACUCGGCCAAACAUCAACCUCCCUUGUCUCUUUCCGGAAACCAAAACCCAGCACAGAACAGAGACAAUCCAGAUUAUCAUGUCUGAUAUACAGGUUAAGUAAUGACAUCCAUGAUCGUCGUUUUCCAAACGCCACAUACCAACACACACCUGUCAGCGGACACGUCCUCCCAGCGACCAAGAAAUCACAUAUUUACAGUUAAGCCAGAGAUUUGUGUUACCGGAGCAACACUCCUAUAUUCAGGAAUAUUGAAAUAGACAAAAGUUUGAAACGUGUAUUUCAUUGUUAUUUUUAUCGACAACAAGUACGUUAAACUGACAUGGAUUAGUGUUGUUUUUUUUCCAGACUACUUUAGGGGAAUGGCGUUUUCUGAAAAAAAUGUAAUUUUUUGCGCGCUGCCCUCUGGGGCACUAUUUUGCGCGUCGUCGUCCAUUAAAGAGCAUUUCAUGGCACCUCAGCAAAUAGGAUGUUAAGCAUAACACAUAUUCAAAAAUACAGUUUAUUUACUUCUAAAUAUUCAUUUAAAUAAAUGAGCUGGUAUACUUUUAUGAAAAUAGAAAAACAACCAUUAAGAAACCAUGACAUGAUCAGUGUCUUAUUUUUGUCAAUGCUAUAAGCUUUUUCACUUAGUCUUGGAAUACAGUUUUUAAUUUUUUAUUUUAACAUUCAUGUUAGGACAGUCUGUAAGGACAGUCUGAAUAGUGUCACACAUAAACACAAACCACAGACACUAGACUGUAAGUCAGUCUCAUUCUAUAUUAGGCAUCUGUUUUUCUUGAGGAACUUUUUCACUACCUUUUUCAUGUCAAUAUCACUAGCACCCUUUGUGUUCAGUUUGUCUAGGAGCAGUUUAUUUGAUGUGUUUACAUGUAGCCAUGUUCAUGAGAUUGCUUACAAUCAGCUGAACAUGUGAGAACACCCGGUAUACAGGAGCAGUGGACAGGAUGAUGGUCAGGUGAACAAAGAACAGCUUGCUUAACAAUGGGUUGAUGACGCCAGUGGUUUCCUGAAAUUACAUAAGAAACAAAUUAUCAAUAACCGUGAAAUAUGAAAAUAUAUGCACGUUUAGAUUAAAAUAUGUGUUCACAGAUAAGAAUGUCAUAGAACAAUGGGUUUGUGUAGCAAACAGUCAAUAUGACUUCUUGCCGGUGAAUAUCAGAUCAUAUUCAAUGUCUCGCUAGUCAAAAACUGUAUAAUGUGGAUAUCUGGGUGAAAUAAAAGAAAUGUUAAGCAGAAUUGAGUAUGCAUCAAAUCCUUGAUAUUAAAGUUUGUUUUUCUACUUUAUAUUUCAAAA
rnacentral:lncRNA from 1 species